CUACGGAGGGUGCAAGCGUUAUCCGGAAUCAUUGGGUUUAAAGGGUCCGUAGGCGGACUAAUAAGUCAGGGGUGAAAUCCCACAGCUUAACUGUGGAACUGCCUUUGAUACUGUUAGUCUUGAGUUAUAUGGAAGUAGAUAGAAUGUGUAGUGUAGCGGUGAAAUGCUUAGAGAUUACACAGAAUACCGAUUGCGAAAGCAGUCUACUACAUAUAUACUGACGCUAAUGGACGAAAGCGUGGGGAGCGAACAGAAUUAGAUACCCUAGUAGUCC
rnacentral:rRNA from 1 species